GACGAACGCUGGCGGCGUGCUUAACACAUGCAAGUCGUACGGUAAGGCCCUUUCGGGGGUACACGAGUGGCGAACGGGUGAGUAACACGUGAGUAACCUGCCCACAACUUUGGGAUAACGCUAGGAAACUGGUGCUAAUACUGGAUAUGUGCUCCUGCUGCAUGGUGGGGGUUGGAAAGCUCCGGCGGUUGUGGAUGGACUCGCGGCCUAUCAGCUUGUUGGUGGGGUAGUGGCCUACCAAGGCGGCGACGGGUAGCCGGCCUGAGAGGGUGACCGGCCACAUUGGGACUGAGAUACGGCCCAGACUCCUACGGGAGGCAGCAGUGGGGAAUAUUGCACAAUGGGCGCAAGCCUGAUGCAGCAACGCCGCGUGCGGGAUGACGGCCUUCGGGUUGGAAACCGCUUUCAGCAGGGACGAAGCUUUUUGUGACGGUACCUGCAGAAGAAGCACCGGCUAACUACGUG
rnacentral:rRNA from 1 species